GGGAUUCUUGAGGUAACUGUGGAGGGAACCCUGACAGAGAAAUCUGAGGACUUCUAGGCAACAGUGGAGAGGCCAAAGAAGCAGAACACCUGCGUGUUCUGCUUUCCUCUGCUCCCACAGGUCCUGUGGGAAGCUUGCCAGCAGAAGACUGGAGAGCAUAAAACCACGAUGCAGAUGAUCCUGUGCAACAAGAGCUCCCCACAGCUCUGGCUGGGAAUUUUAAAAUAUUUCUGGCCAAAACCUGGUGGAUGCUGUCAAAUACUUUUAUGAUGGCUACUUCCAGGAACUGCUGGGUGCAAUUGAUUCCGCUAAAGACGAAAGAAGCAGUCUACUCCCACUCCUAGGGGACGCACUUCAAAGAUGUUACAUAUAAAUAAUCCUGAACUUUUAAGAAGACCCCAGAUGGCAAAAAUGAGCUCACUCUUCGAAAACUCCUUA